GGCUCCAGGGGUUCAGGCGGCGUCGGGGGUGGGUGGCUCCGGGGUUCAGGUGGCGUGGGGGGCGGGCAGCUCUGGGGGUUCAGGCAUCAGGUGGCUCCGGGGGUUCAGGUGUCAGGCGGCGUCGGGGGCGGGCGGCUCUGGGGGUUCAGGCAUCAGGUGGCUCCGGGGGUUCAGGUGUCAGGCGGCGUCGGGGGCGGGUGGCUCCGGGGGUUCAGGCGUCAGGCGGCAUCGGGGGUGGGUGGCUCCGGGGGUUCAGGCGUCAGGCGGCUCCGGGGGUUCAGGUAUCAGGCGGCGUCGGGGGCGGGUGGCUCCGGGGGUUCAGGCAUCAGGCGGCUCUGGGGGUUCAGGUAUCAGGCGGCAUCGGGGGCGGGUGGCUCCGGGGGUUCAGGCCUCAGGCGGCUCCGGGGGUUCAGGUGUCAGGCGGCAUCGGGGGCGGGUGGCUCCGGGGGUUCAGGCAUCGGGUGGCUCCGGGAGUUCAGGCGGCGUCGGGGGUGGGUGGCUCCGGGGUUCAGGCAUCGGGUGGCUCUGGGGGUACAGGCGUCAGGCGGCUCCGGGGGUUCAGGCGUCAGGCGGCGUCGGGGGCGGGCGGCUCUGGGGGUUCAGGCGUC